GAUGAAGAACGCAGCGAAAUGCGAUAAGUAAUGUGAAUUGCAGAAUUCAGUGAAUCAUCGAAUCUUUGAACGCACAUUGCGCCCGCCAGUAUUCUGGCGGGCAUGCCUGUCCGAGCGUCAUUUCAACCCUCGAACCCCUCCGGGGGGUCGGCGUUGGGGAUCGGCCCUGCCUCUUGGCGGUGGCCGUCUCCGAAAUACAGUGGCGGUCUCGCCGCAGCCUCUCCUGCGCAGUAGUUUGCACACUCGCAUCGGGAGCGCGUCGCGUCCACAGCCGUUAAACACCCAACUUCUGAAAUGUUGACCUCGGAUCAGGUAGGAAUACCCGCUGAACUUAAGCAUAUCAAUAAGCGGAGGA
rnacentral:misc_RNA from 1 species